rnacentral:rRNA from 1 species
UACGAAGGGGGCUAGCGUUGUUCGGAAUUACUGGGCGUAAAGGGCUCGUAGGCGGCCAACUAAGUCCGACGUGAAAUCCCCAGGCUUAACCUGGGAACUGCGUCUGAUACUGGAAGGCUCGAGUUCGGGAGAGGAAUGUGGAAUUCCAGGUGUAGCGGUGAAAUGCGUAGAUAUCUGGAGGAACACCGGUGGCGAAGGCGGCAUUCUGGACCGAAACUGACGCUGACGGGCGCGAAAGCCAGGGGAGCAAACGGG